rnacentral:rRNA from 1 species
AUACGUAGGGGGCGAGCGUUGUCCGGAAUGAUUGGGCGUAAAGGGCGCGUAGGCGGCCUGUUAAGUCUGGCGUGAAAGUCCUGUUUUCAAGAUGGGAAUUGCUUUGGAUACUGAUGGGCUUGAGUGCAGGAGAGGUUAUCGGAAUUCCCGGUGUAGCGGUGAAAUGCGUAGAGAUCGGGAGGAACACCAGUGGCGAAGGCGGGUAACUGGACUGCAACUGACGCUGAGGCGCGAAAGCGUGGGGAGCAAACAGGAUUAGAUACCCUGGUAGUCCACACUGUAAACGAUGAAUGCUAGGUGUAGGGGGUAUCGACCCCUUCUGUGCCGCAGUCAACACAAUAAGCAUUCCGCCUGGGGAGUACGGCCGCAAGGUUGAAACUCAAAUGAAUUGACGGGG